CGGAAGUGAAACAAUUUCAUUUGAUGCCAUUUCGGAGGACAGGAGUGGGCGAGAAUAAUUGAUCGUUUACAAUAUAAUAAAAUUAUGGGAAAUUAAAUAGCUUAGCGGAAUAUAUCGCUCAAUCAAAACAUAACGGAAGCCGAGUUGAGAUGGAGAGCCGUCGCACAGUAACACGAAGGUCGAGAAAUCAACGCAUCCGACUCAUCAAAUGACAUCGCCACACGCUCGUUUGCCAACCUGUAGCCUAGGUGUGGUGGGCUCGAGGGCGGUCAGUGUUUGGUGUCAACAAACGAACACUUCCACAUCAACGCGCUCGGAUUCUUCCACGGAGGCAGAGGGACUGACGCUGGUAACGGACAUAGUCGCCCCCAUGCCCCGCUUCCCGGGGAGGACUGCGGACGUGGCCGCUAACCUGACUUCCCCCGUGCUGGGUCGGCCACUGUGCGCUAACGGGACGCCCUGGACCCUCUACCUGUUUGAGGAAUGCGUGGAGAAUGUGUGGGAAUACUGGAGCGUAGUCAUCGGGCUGAUCUCAAUGUUCUGUUUCUUGCUGUCUACUCUGCCGCAAGUCUAUGAGGCUUAUCGCAAUGGUAAAGUGGAGGAGGCCAUGUCGUUUGGCUUUAUGCUCUUCCUCUUCAGUGGGGACCUCAGCAGUCUAAUAGGCUGCGUCCUGACCAGCCAGCUGCCCAUCCAGGUAUCUAUCAACAGGCACAACUUCAACUUGCUCUUGUAUGAAUAUGGGCAGAGGCAUUGCCAUAGCACUCUCUGCCCAGACAUGCCAGGAUGCACUGUAUCACAGCUGCAUUGAAGCAUAUUUUUUUAAAACAUUCAGCAUUUUGUUUCAUCUGGUUUGUGAAUGGAGUUAGUUAGGUACAUUGUAUCCCAAUGGCAUGUUUUCCUUAACCUUUCCCUGACCCUUACCUAUGCCUUUCCCUGACCCUUACCUAUGCCUGACCCUUACCUAUGCCUUUCCCUGACCCUUGCCUUUCCCUGACCCUUACCUAUGCCUGACCCUUACCUAUGCCUGACCCUUACCUAUGCCUGACCCUUACCUAUGCCUGACCCUUACCUAUGCCUGACCCUUACCUUUGCCUGACCCUUACCUUUCCCUGACCCUUACCUUUCCCUGACCCUUACCUAUGCCUGACCCUUACCUAUGCCUUUCCCUGACCCUUACCUAUGCCUGACCCUUACCUAUGCCUUUCCCUGACCCUUGCCUUUCCCUGACCCUUACCUAUGCCUGACCCUUACCUAUGCCUUUCCCUGACCCUUACCUAUGCCUGACCCUUACCUUUCCCUGACCCUUACCUAUGCCUGACCCUUACCUAUUCCUACCUGCAGAGGGUGCCACUGUCGUCUAAAUCAUAUCUUCUCUCUCUCAGAUUGUGACAGUAGUGUUCUACAUCUCCACUGAUCUCCUGCUCAUCUCCCAGUUCCUCUACUACAAGAUAAAGAACAACUCAUCUAAAAGUUAUCAGCGUUGUUCAUUGUAUUGUAGUUGGUGUGCUAUAGUGUUCUCCAGUCUGUGUACUCACUAAUAUGCUAGAUGUAUUCCCUAUAGACAAUGCUAACAGCUCUGCCCAGUUAUCCAUGCCUAAUGUGUUUGACAUGACUGUGUUCAAGUGAAAUUGCUAGUUUCUACUAAAAGUUGAUUACUGACUAAUUCUCCCCUUGUAAAGCUCCUUUGUUAGUCCAGUUUGCAGCCGAGGGCUGGAACACAAAAUGAAGACAUAUUGGAUUACGUAACAGUACAUCUACACAAGUGUGUGUUGUGGGUAUGUAUCUGUCAAUAAAGACAGAGUGACUGAUUUGAGGGACAGAAAGAGAGAGGGAGGUCUUGCCACACCUGUUCAAGCCCUUCCCUACUUUCUCCGUAGCUCCGGUAUCUCACAGGUGUGUCUGAAACAGGUCACCUCUACAAAACCAGGAGGGGCAGCAACACUGUGUCUCUCUUCCCCCAGAGCGCCCCACGUUGAAGUGGUUGUGUUUCCUGUGGUGUGGGGCUUCCACUGUGGCCCUCCUGAUCCUCCCCAAGUUCAUCACUGACAACAACCCCUCUGCAAACACUCAGAGUGCCUCUAACAGUGUGGAGAUUUCUGGUUAUGCCUGUGGAUACCUGGCCUCCAUAUUCUACCUCUCCUCUCGUUUUCCACAGCUCUACAAAAAUUUUAAGCGACAGUCUACAGAGGGCACGUCGUACAUGCUGUUUGCCCUGGCCAUGAUGGGCAACGGGACCUACGGGCUCAGUGUCAUUGUGGUUCUACCAGCUCUGGCCGGCUCCAAACAGACCUUCAUCCUCAAACAUCUGGCCUGGCUCAUCGGCAGCCUGGGAGUCCUCCUCCUAGACUUCUUUGUCACCGCCCAGUUCAUCAUCUAUAGGAAGAACCACUCCGCUAAAACCAGCAAGAAGAUGAACGUUCCUGAAGUAGAACCUCUGCUCUGUGAAGAGGAGGAACUGUCCACAUUCUAGAGUGAGAACAUUAUGGAAGUUCUAGAGUGAGAACAUUAUGGAAGUUCUAGAGUGAGAACAUUAUGGAAGUUCUAGAGUGAGAACAUUAUGGAAGUUCUAGACUGAGAACAUUAUGGAAGUUCUAGACUGAGAACAUUAUGGAAGUUCUAGACUGAGAACAUUAUGGAAGUUCUAGACUGAGAACAUUAUGGAAGUUCUAGAGUGAGAACAUUAUGGAAGUUCUAGAGUGAGAACAUUAUGGAAGUUCUAGAGUGAGAACAUUAUGGAAGUUCUAGAGUGAGAACAUUAUGGAAGUUCUAGAGUGAGAACAUUAUGGAAGUUCUAGAGUGAGAACAUUAUGGAAGUUCUAGAGUGAGAACAUUAUGGAAGUUCUAGAGUGAGAACAUUAUGGAAGUUCUAGAGUGAGAACAUUAUGGAAGUUCUAGAGUGAGAACAUUAUGGAAGUUCUAGAGUGAGAACCUUAUGGAAGUUCUAGAGUGAGAACCUUAUGGAAGUUCUAGAGUGAGAACCUUAUGGAAGUUCUAGAGUGAGAACCUUAUGGAAGUUCUAGAGUGAGAACCUUAUGGAAGUUCUAGAGUGAGAACCUUAUGGAAGUUCUAGAGUGAGAACCUUAUGGAAGUUCUAGAGUGAGAACCUUAUGGAAGUUCUAGAGUGAGAACCUUAUGGAAGUUCUAGAGUGAGAACCUUAUGGAAGUUCUAGAGUGAGAACCUUAUGGAAGUUCUAGAGUGAGAACCUUAUGGAAGUUCUAGAGUGAGAACCUUAUGGAAGUUCUAGAGUGAGAACCUUAUGGAAGUUCUAGAGUGAGAACCUUAUGGAAGUUCUAGAGUGAGAACCUUAUGGAAGUUCUAGAGUGAGAACCUUAUGGAAGUUCUAGAGUGAGAACCUUAUGGAAGUUCUAGAGUGAGAACCUUAUGGAAGUUCUAGAGUGAGAACCUUAUGGAAGUUCUAGAGUGAGAACCUUAUGGAAGUUCUAGAGUGAGAACCUUAUGGAAGUUCUAGAGUGAGAACCUUAUGGAAGUUCUAGAGUGAGAACCUUAUGGAAGUUCUAGAGUGAGAACCUUAUGGAAGUUCUAGAGUGAGAACCUUAUGGAAGUUCUAGAGUGAGAACCUUAUGGAAGUUCUAGAGUGAGAACCUUAUGGAAGUUCUAGAGUGAGAACCUUAUGGAAGUUCUAGAGUGAGAACCUUAUGGAAGUUCUAGAGUGAGAACCUUAUGGAAGUUCUAGAGUGAGAACCUUAUGGAAGUUCUAGAGUGAGAACCUUAUGGAAGUUCUAGAGUGAGAACCUUAUGGAAGUUCUAGAGUGAGAACCUUAUGGAAGUUCUAGAGUGAGAACCUUAUGGAAGUUCUAGACUGAGAACCUUAUGGAAGUUCUAGACUGAGAACCUUAUGGAAGUUCUAGACUGAGAACCUUAUGGAAGUUCUAGACUGAGAACAUUAUGGAAGUUCUAGACUGAGAACAUUAUGGAAGUUCUAGACUGAGAACAUUAUGGAAGUUCUAGACUGAGAACAUUAUGGAAGUUCUAGACUGAGAACAUUAUGGAAGUUCUAGACUGAGAACAUUAUGGAAGUUCUAGAGUGAGAACAUUAUGGAAGUUCUAGAGUGAGAACCUUAUGGAAGUUCUAGAGUGAGAACCUUAUGGAAGUUCUAGAGUGAGAACCUUAUGGAAGUUCUAGAGUGAGAACCUUAUGGAAGUUCUAGAGUGAGAACCUUAUGGAAGUUCUAGAGUGAGAACCUUAUGGAAGUUCUAGAGUGAGAACCUUAUGGAAGUUCUAGAGUGAGAACCUUAUGGAAGUUCUAGAGUGAGAACCUUAUGGAAGUUCUAGAGUGAGAACCUUAUGGAAGUUCUAGAGUGAGAACCUUAUGGAAGUUCUAGAGUGAGAACCUUAUGGAAGUUCUAGAGUGAGAACCUUAUGGAAGUUCUAGACUGAGAACAUUAUGGAAGUUCUAGACUGAGAACAUUAUGGAAGUUCUAGACUGAGAACAUUAUGGAAGUUCUAGACUGAGAACAAUAAGAUAAUUCUAGAAAUCCUCUCCAUAAUCAAUCAAUCAAUCAAAUGUAUUUAUAAAGCCCUUUUUACAUCUGUAGAUGUCACAAAGUGAUAUAUGUAGAAAAUCGGGCUUAAAACCCCAAACAACAAGCAAUGCAGAUGUAGAAGAACGAUGGCUUGGAAAAACUCCCUGUUGACUGGAGACCUGCACUAAUCUGACAGAUGUGAUGGUACACCAAUGUUCCCUCCUCUGAAAUACAGGUGAAUUACAGGCGUUUUAUAUUUGACGAAUGUAAUCUCAGUAGAACUAUUCUCUCUCUCUUUGUAAGGGAGGAGGGGGUCAUGUGAUCUAUUCACUAUGCCAUUUCCUCGUACGCCUCAGGCCUAUUGGCUGUGUCAGUGUCUCACAUUGCUCUAGUCUAGUUUGUCAACGGUUAGAGCUCUUGUGUUUUCCAGGAUAAGAUAUGCAAUACACUGAACUGUUCCCGCAGCGUUGUUGUCUAGGUAGACCGUAGAGUAGGGGACCACACCAGUGGUUGUUCCUGUAUGUACGUUUACAAAUGUCAUACGUUGGCACUAUUGGUGUGUCGCAAAGUAGUGGGCUGCACCCACAGUAAUGUAUUUAGUAAUAGUUUACCCCUGGUUUUGUUCUAUGAGCAGAUUCUGUCGUAGUUAAAUCUAUAAGUUGGUAAAUUGCUUGGAGUGUUUACACAGUGUUUAGAUGGUGAAAAUACAGUGGGGUAAAGCCUGAUAUCCUGUGCCUUGCAUCUACAUUAUAUUAAUAUGAAUGUGUUGCUGCAGUGCAGUGCUGAAGGCUGUUUGACGUGUUCAAGGCUGCUGCUUUUUAAAAACAAACAGUUUUUGGGCUGAAAUCUAACCGUUUUAACUGAACAGCCUGUUUUCCUUAUCUCCUCUCCUUAUCUCCUCUGGCCCAGUUUAUUUUACUUUCAGUGUCCACAAAGGAAGGGAGGAAGGAGUUUAAUUAUUAUUAUUUUUUACAUUAUUGAGUCACAGCCGUGAACAUUGAGUUCACCCCUUAUUUUGGAGUUGUGUCCAGGGGUGUGUUCAUCAGGAACCAAAUGUAACAAAACGGGUUAAGGGGCCUACCUGAAUUUGUCCAAUAGAAACUCUCGUUUUCGUUUCAAAAUAUUUUCGUUUAAGAGUAAUAAGCAUUUCGAAACGGAAACCGUUUACUCAAAAACGGAAAAUGUUGUGUGACUAAUGAAUACACCCCAGUCUUCUAUGUGUGUAGUCACAUGUUCAGAAAGUGGCGGAUCAAGGUUUUGUGGGAAAUUUGAACGUUUUUUAUAAGUUGAUGUGUCAUAACUUGGUAACAUACUGGAGACCAACGAUUCGUUACGUUUUUGUACUGGUCACAUCACUGUUGUUAGUGUGUCAUGGAUGUGAUUGGUCGAUUGACAGCACAGAUUUUUCUCUACCUCCGUCUUUCAGUGAGGGGGGUUUGUUUUAUCUGGCCCUGGUUACCACGGUGGGAGGAGUUUGAGCUGGGUGAAAAGUGAUUGUAUUCAUUUUGGAAUCGGGCCCCACUCUGGUCGCCGGUGAAGGUGGCUCAAAACAAACAUGACGUAAUUAAGCACGUGGAAAGAUGGGUAGGAUUCUGUUUUCACAUGCUAAAGUGAUUGCUUUUGAUUUAUUUUUUAUUUUUUUAAAACUUUCUGCCUUCUCAAUAAAAACUAGUUUGACUAUUCAAACAUUUUAUUUUAUGGAAAAUGUAUGUAUGUUUCGUGACGAUGCACCAUGCUGCCUUGUUGACAUGACCGAGUGGCUCAGAUUACUGUUUGAUUUGAGAAAGGCGCUCCUGCAUCCCUGCUAUUUCACCCGAUGACGUGAUGGGCCAUUGCCCGGGUUCAACCUGGGCCAGUGUAAUAGAAUUCCCUUCUAUUCUCUGGUGAAAAUGUAAAUAUGAAUCUAGUUAAGUGUUGGAUAUAUAUAUAAGGAGUGCUUGUGGACGGAAACAUGACAAAACAUGAUGUGAGUGUUUUAUUGGUAGAAAUAGUCUCGAGUUACAGCUGGGUUUUAAUAAGCACAGUUGUGAUUGGUGGACUUUCCAUGUGAGAAAUAAGGUGUAUUUCUACUUGUACCUGAUGUAUUGGAAAAGCUCAAAAUGUGGUCUUUGGGAAAAAAUAGCUGUUUUCAAAAUGGCUGACCAGCAAAUGAUUGUGGCCAUGGUCAUGAAACAUCAGGAAAGCCAUGAACGAAGAGAAAUUAUGAUGCCACUUAUUUUCUCCGAUAAACCUGUAGAUAGUUGCAGAUUUUGUUGAUUAUUUUAAAGGUAAAUUAUCAGUUGUUUCAGACAACCUUUUUUUUUCUUUCUCUCCUUUCUCUUGAGAAAUUAAGUUUCAUUCUGGUUUGCUCAAAGCCUGGCCUCUCUUCAAUGUGUUUUCUAUAGACAUUUUUUUCCAAACAAUAGAAUGGAAUAAUGAGAUAUUUAUUUACAGUCUCAAAAGAACAAGGAAAAUGUAUGAAAUUAUUUUUACUUGAAUAAUGACACACUGUAUUGCUAUUUUAAGAUACACAUGUAUUUAUAUUUAUACUUAAGAUAACAUGGUAUUGUAUUUUCCUUAUGCUUUGGCCUAUACGUUACUUGCAAUAUUUAUGUCAUUGACGAUAAUGUCCCAGUAUCUCAGCUUUUGUAGUUAAUUCCAAUAUGAUGCUUAUGUAACAAACAUCUCAAUAAAGACCGAAUUAUAUCCAA